GACGAACGCUGGCGGCGUGCUUAACACAUGCAAGUCGAACGGAAAGGCCUCUUUCGGGGGGUACUCGAGUGGCGAACGGGUGAGUAACACGUGAGUAACCUGCCCUUGACUUUGGGAUAACUUCAGGAAACUGGGGCUAAUACCGGAUAGGAGCUCCUGCUGCAUGGUGGGGGUUGGAAAGUUUCGGCGGUUGGGGAUGGACUCGCGGCUUAUCAGCUUGUUGGUGGGGUAGUGGCUUACCAAGGCUUUGACGGGUAGCCGGCCUGAGAGGGUGACCGGCCACAUUGGGACUGAGAUACGGCCCAGACUCCUACGGGAGGCAGCAGGGGGGAAUAUUGCACAAUGGGUGGAGGCCUGAUGCAGCAACGCCGUGUGCGGGAUGACGGCCUUCGGGUUGUAAACCGCUUUCGCUCAUGACGAAGCUUUGUGUGACGGUAGUGGGUAAAGAAGCACCGGCUAACUACGUG
rnacentral:rRNA from 1 species